GGACCCAGUCUGGCUGAUGGCUCGAGCUGUAUCCUGCCCUAGGAGCAGCGGGUGUCUCCUUGCUAGCUUGGGUGGCUGUGCUGCGUGUCAAGGCACCCCUGGCACUCGGCACGGCAAUUAGAACAUCUACAUCUUCCCUCCGUGUCAUCCAAGCUCUGCAAAAUUGCCAGUGAUUAYUGGCACAGGCUGCAGAUGUGCCGAGCCCCGCGCCGCGGAGAGGAGCCAGGA